GCCCAGGUGGUGAAAUUGGUAGACACGCCAGCUUCAGGUGCUGGUCCUCGCAAGAGGGUGGAGGUUCAAGUCCUCUCCUGGGCACCA
rnacentral:tRNA from 1 species